rnacentral:rRNA from 1 species
CCCUGGUAGUCCACGCCGUAAACGAAGAGUGCUAAGUGUUAGGGGGAUUCCGCCCCUUAGUGCUGCAGCAAACGCAUUAAGCACUCCGCCUGGGGAGUACGACCGCAAGGUUGAAACACAAAGGAAUUGACGGGGGCCCGCACAAGCGGUGGAGCAUGAGGUUUAAUUCGAAGCAACGCGAAGAACCAUACCAGGUCUUGACAUCCUUUGACCACACUGGAGACAGAGCUUUCCCUACGGGGACAAAGUGACAGGUGGUGCAUGGUUGUCGUCA